UUGUCCUCUCCAACUUUCCCGGUGGUCAUUACCCACAACUCUGCCAUGGCGGCAGCCACUGCUCCACAUGCGCCUGCACAGGCGCCCAAUCCCCUUUCGCCACGCAAUCACUGUGGGUGCCUUCCGGCGCGGCGACUUUGACAGUUUCGCUACGGAUGCGUGGUGCAACGCUAACGACGGCUUUGAAGUGAACAGUUGAUAUUUGAGGCCAAGAAGACCACCGAGUAUUGAACGCUGAUACUCCGUGUCCCGCCUCCUUACUUCUGUAGCCCAAUCUGCCGCUGACCUCGCUCUUGAGAUUGAUAGAGAGCUGGAGAUUGGUGUUCAGUGGCGCACAUUUUCCAUAGAUUUUGUUAGAAAUUGGCCUAGGGUUUGUCCUUUCUGUUAUAUGCUUCUGGUUUCAACAUUAAUUCCCUAAAUUGUCCAAAUUUGUUGGGAAAGGAAGUUCAUUUUCAUCCAAUAUCCGUGUCAAACUCAUUCCUGGUGGAUUAUUAUUGUUUGUUUCUCAGCCUCUAGGUGUUACCAAUUUAUUGGAAACUAUCUCCUCCUCCAAAUGACAGCAAAAACAGAGUUAAUACCGUUUGCUUGAAUUCGGUUUAUUGGUGUUGCUUAUCUUACCAUCAUUGUUGUUAUUCUUGCUGUACAGGAGGCAGCUUAAUGAUUUUCUGGAUACCCCAUUAGGAAGGAGUUUUGCUGUGAGUAUAAUCUCUUUAUACCUAUAGUACUUGUGGAAGAAAAUUUUUCUCUUGGUGGAUAUUAGUAUCUCUCAACCAUGAUGUACUCUCAUUUCUGAAUCAUUUGAAUAGCUUUCUGGGCUUUUGGAUAAACAAUAUGUUAGCAAACAACCUUGGCAACUUUUUCACGGUUAUGUGGUACUGUUAAAGGAGUUUUACUAGUUUGUGUGCAAUUCAAAGUGGGAAUAUUAUGAAUAUAGAUAUGAGUAGUUGGGUAGCUUCUGUUAUAUGCGUUUGAUAUAAAAAGUUUGUUUCAAAGUGGACACUGUGCAUACCUGUUGUAUAAUAUUAUGGAUAAAUUGAAAAGUUUUAGAUAGCCACAUGACUGAAAUUCCACGUCUUCAAUUGAUAUUGGCGUGCUAAGAUUCAAGAAAAUUAUCUUCCUUUCAUGGGGGGGCACAGGGCAUCUUAUAAUGUAAAAUGAUAGUUGUUUCAAACUUCAUUCUUUAGCCACUUUUCUUUAUGAAUACAGUUUUUGUUUAGCGUCUUUGAGAGAAUAUAAAACAAAAUGUUUUCAUUGAUGAAGUUAGUAAAUGAAUAGCUUUAAUAGCCAGAGUUCAUAUUGAUUUUUCUCAUGUCUGUUUAUGGGAGUUUUCUUCUGUCCUUUUGUGGUAGUUUUCUGGUUUUAGAUGGCAUCUUUAAGUUCAUGUCAUGCAGUUUCAAUUAUAUGUUUUUAUUAUUAUUUUUUUUAAAUACUGUCCUUGUAGACUAUUUGCUAUUUUUCUUCCUCUGGGUAUUAUCCGGGACCCGGGUGGCUGUUUGGCUUCUUGAUAUUUGCUACAUAGAUUCUGCCAUUUGCUGCACCUCUUCUCAUUAGGACAGCAACAAAUAAUCUUGUCCUUAAGUGGUUCGCUGGCCUUUUAUAUCAAAAUUUGGCAGGGGGCUUGCCCAGCAUGUAAGAGGCAGUUUGUUGGUUAAAAAAACCAAAUAAUUCAUUGUGCUACUUGUGGUAACAUUGUGUGGCGGCCAGAAGAGACUUUUUGCAAGAGGUGAUGGUAGAGGUAAAAACUGAUCAGUGUUGAGUUUGAGUACAAAUGACGAGAUAUGCUUGAUGGAUGGUAGUGGUUCACUUUACGCAGACUCUGGUCUUUGGAAAAAAUAGUGUUUAGUCUAUGCACUAGAUGUUUAGACCUCAAGCUUUGUCAUUCGUAGAUAGCUUUCUCAUCUUCUGGGUCCUCCUCUAGGAUAGUUGAAUUAUUUCCAUUUGUAUACUUUCGUACACCCAGUUUAGAAACUAAAUUACCAGACUUGAAAAAUGUACAAUACCCUUUGUUCAUAAAUCAUGGCAGAAUAACUUUUCCUUAC